rnacentral:rRNA from 1 species
UACGUAGGUGGCAAGCGUUGUCCGGAUUUAUUGGGCGUAAAGCGCGCGCAGGCGGUUCGUUUAGUCCGAGGUGAAAUCUCCCGGCUCAACUGGGAGGGGUCUUCGGAUACUGGCGGACUUGAGGAGAGCAGAGGUGAGUGGAAUUCUCGGUGUAGUGGUGAAAUGCGUAGAGAUCCGGAGGAACACCAGUGGCGAAGGCGGCUGGCUGGACCUGACCUGACGCUGAGGCGCGAAGGCGUGGGGAGCAAACAGG